rnacentral:rRNA from 1 species
GAUGAACGCUGGCGGCGUGCCUAAUACAUGCAAGUCGAACGGGGAGUCGCAAUACUCUUAGUGGCGAACGGGUGAGUAACGCGUUGGUACCUGCCCCGAAGCGGGGGAUAACGGACCGAAAGGUCCGCUAAUACCCCAUGUGCUCGGUAACGAGUAAAGGUGAAAACCACUUUGGGAGGGGCCUGCGUCCCAUCAGCUAGUUGGUAAGGUAACGGCUUACCAAGGCGAUGACGGGUAGGGGACCUGAGAGGGUGGCCCCCCACAAUGGAACUGAAACACGGUCCAUACACCUACGGGUGGCAGCAGUAGGGAAUAUUGGUAAUGGGCGCAAGCCUGAACCAGCAGCGCCGCGUGUGAGAUGACGGCCUUCGGGUUGUAAAGCACUUUUGAAUGGGACGAGGAAGGACGGUACCGGUCGAAUCAGCCUCGGCUAACUACGUG